CUAUUGUGAAAAACCACUCUGAAAAUGCCCAAUCUUGUCUGAUUUCAGAUGCUGAGCAGAAUGAGGCUUGGUUAGUAUUUCAAUGGAAGCCAGCUGAAAUACUACGAAUCUCCAACUAGA
rnacentral:rRNA from 1 species